AAUCAACGCUGGCGGCGCGCUUAACACAUGCAAGUCGAGCGAGAAAGGGGGAGCAAUCCCUGAGUACAGCGGCGUACGGGUGAGUAACACGUGGGUAAUCUGCCUUUUAGUGGGGAAUAACCCUGGGAAACCGGGGCUAAUACCGCAUAAUCCUGUGAAGGGAAAGCAGCAAUGCGCUGAAAGAGGAGCCCGCGGCCGAUUAGCUAGUUGGUGAGGUAACGGCUCACCAAAGCGGNGAUCGGUAGCCGGCCUGAGAGGGCACACGGCCACACUGGCACUGAAACACGGGCCAGACUCCUACGGGAGGCAGCAGUGGGGAAUCUUGCACAAUGGAGGCAACUCUGAUGCAGCG
rnacentral:rRNA from 1 species